CCUACGGGUGGCAGCAGUGAGGAAUAUUCGUCAAUGGGCGGAAGCCUGAACCAGCCAAGUCGCGUGAGCGAAUAAGGCCCUACGGGUCGUAAACCUCUUUUGCCGGGGAGCAAGGGCGGGGACGUGUCCCGGCCCGGAGAGUACCCGGAGAACAAGCAUCGGCUAACUACGUUCCAGCAGCCGCGGUAAUACGGAGGAUGCGAGCGUUAUCCGGAUUUAUUGGGUUAAAGGGGUGCGUAGGCGGGCUGUUAAGUCAGCGGUAAAAAUUCGGGGCUCAACCCCGUCCGGCCGUUGAAACUAGGGGCCUAGAGUGGGCGAGAAGAAGGCGGAAUGCGUGGUGUAGCGGUGAAAUGCAUAGAUAUCACGCAGAACACCGAUUGCGAAGGCAGCCUUCCGGCGCCCUACUGACGCUGAGGCACGAAAGUGCGGGGAGCGAACAGGAUUAGAUACCCCUGUAGUC
rnacentral:rRNA from 1 species